UACGUAGGGUGCAAGCGUUUAAUCGGAAUUACUGGGCGUAAAGCGUGCGCAGGCGGUUGUGCAAGACAGAUGUGAAAUCCCCGGGCUCAACCUGGGAAUUGCAUUUGUGACUGUACGGCUAGAGUGUGUCAGAGGGGGGUAGAAUUCCACGUGUAGCAGUGAAAUGCGUAGAGAUGUGGAGGAAUACCGAUGGCGAAGGCAGCCCCCUGGGAUAACACUGACGCUCAUGCACGAAAGCGUGGGGAGCAAACAGG
rnacentral:rRNA from 1 species